rnacentral:rRNA from 1 species
UCGAGAAUCAUUCGCAAUGGGCGCAAGCCUGACGAUGCGACGCCGCGUGUGGGAUGGAGGCCUUCGGGUCGUAAACCACUGUCACGGGGGAAGAACCAUACAGAUAAUAAAAUGUCUGUAUCUGACGUUACCCCGAGAGGAAGCCACGGCUAACUCCGUGCCAGCAGCCGCGGUAAUACGGAGGUGGCGAGCGUUGUUCGGAUUUACUGGGCGUAAAGGGUGUGUAGGCGGCUGAACGUGUUCGGUGUGAAAUACCCCGGCUUAACUAGGGAACUGCAUCGAAAACUGUUCGGCUUGAGUGCAGGAGAGGAGAAUGGAAUUUCCGGUGUAGCGGUGAAAUGCGUAGAUAUCGGAAGGAACGCCAGUGGCGAAAGCGGUUCUCUGGCCUGCAACUGACGCUGAGGCACGAAAGCCAAGGUAGCAAACGGG